AGUUGGUGAGGUAAUGGCUCACCAAGGGCGACGAUCCGUAGCUGGUCUGAGAGGAUGACCAGCCUCACUGGGACUGAGACACGGCCCAGACUCCUACGGGAGGCAGCAGUGGGGAAUAUUGGACAAUGGGCGCAAGCCUGAUCCAGCCAUGCCGCGUGAGUGAUGAAGGCCUUAGGGUUGUAAAGCUCUUUCGCUAGGGAAGAUAAUGACGGUACCUAGAGAAGAAGCCCCGGCUAACUUCGUGCCAGCAGCCGCGGUAAUACGAAGGGGGCUAGCGUUGUUCGGAAUUACUGGGCGUAAAGCGCACGUAGGCGGACAUUUAAGUCAGGGGUGAAAUCCCAGGGCUCAACCCUGGAACUGCCUUUGAUACUGGGUGUCUUUGAGUACGAGAGAGGUGAGUGGAAUUCCGAGUGUAGAGGUGAAAUUCGUAG
rnacentral:rRNA from 1 species